rnacentral:rRNA from 1 species
AUGUCUUCCUCCACCUCCGCCUUCCAGCCAACGCUUAGUGGUGGAGUCCUGGAGAAACUCUCCCGCACCAACUACGUUCUGUGGCGGACACAGAUCACGCCGCAGCUGCGGGGCGCCGGCGUCUUCCAGUAUGUCGAUGGCACGGCAACCGAGCCGGCAAAAACCCAUGUCACCAAGGAUGCCGCUGGGAAGGAAACCGAGGGGCCGAAUCCCCUCCAUCCGCUAUGGGUGAAGGAGGAUCAGCAGGUCCUUGGAUACCUGCUCCAAAACCUCUCCAAGGAGGUGCUCGUCACGGUGACCAGAUCACCAUGGCGAGGGAUCUAUGGGUGGCGCUGGCGAGCAUGUACUCGUCGCAGUCACUCUGCCGCGUCAACAACAUCCGCACGGCGUUGA